rnacentral:rRNA from 1 species
UACGGAGGGUGCAAGCGUUGCUCGGAAUUAUUGGGCGUAAAGGGUUGGUAGGUGGUCUUGUUUGUCUAAGGUGAAAUCCCAUGGCUUAACUGUGGAAGUGCCUUAGAAACGGCAAGACUAGAGUCCUAGAGGGGUUUGUGGAAUUCCCGGUGUAGCGGUGAAAUGCGUAGAGAUCGGGAGGAACACCAGCGGCGAAGGCGGCAAACUGGAUAGGCACUGACACUCAACAACGAAAGCGUGGGGAGCAAACAGG